rnacentral:rRNA from 1 species
CCUACGGGGGGCUGCAGUGGGGAAUAUUGGACAAUGGGGGCAGCCCUGAUCCAGCCAUGCCGCGUGUGUGAAGAAGGCCCUCGGGUUGUAAAGCACUUUCAGUGAGGAAGAACGCCUGGUGGUUAAUACCCAUCAGGAAAGACAUCACUCACAGAAGAAGCACCGGCUAACUCCGUGCCAGCAGCCGCGGUAAUACGGAGGGUGCGAGCGUUAAUCGGAAUUACUGGGCGUAAAGCGCGCGUAGGUGGCUUGAUAAGCCGGUUGUGAAAGCCCCGGGCUCAACCUGGGAACGGCAUCCGGAACUGUCAAGCUAGAGUGCAGGAGAGGAAGGUAGAAUUCCCGGUGUAGCGGUGAAAUGCGUAGAGAUCGGGAGGAAUACCAGUGGCGAAGGCGGCCUUCUGGACUGACACUGACACUGAGGUGCGAAAGCGUGGGUAGCAAACAGGAUUAGAUACCCUGGUAGUC